UCGUGACCGAUCCGAAGAGCUGGUCCAGUGGGUGGAAGCCAGCCGCGCAGGAAGUGUGAGACGCCCCCCACGUCCCUCCGGGCCUGCCCCAUUUUC
rnacentral:sRNA from 1 species